GUUCCCAAUGAUGGUAACUUUGACCAUGCUAAUACUGAUUAUAGUUGAUGAUUGGAUAUCCAUUUUAAUAUGCUGAGGGAACC
rnacentral:snoRNA from 1 species